rnacentral:rRNA from 1 species
AUACGUAGGAUCCGAGCGUUGUCCGGAUUUACUGGGCGUAAAGGGUGCGUAGGCGGCGUGGUAAGUCUCAUGUGAAAUCUCCCGGCUCAACUGGGAGGGGUCAUGGGAUACUGCCAUGCUCGAGGGCAGCAGAGGAGAGCGGAAUUCCGGGAGUAGCGGUGAUAUGCGUAGAUACCCGGAGGAACACCCGUGGCGAAAGCGGCUCUCUGGGCUGUACCUGACGCUAAGGCACGAAAGCGUGGGGAGCAAACCGGAUUAGAAACCCCUGUAGUCC